rnacentral:rRNA from 1 species
AACGAACGCUGGCGGCAUGCCUAACACAUGCAAGUCGAACGAGAUCUUCGGGUCUAGUGGCGCACGGGUGCGUAACGCGUGGGAAUCUGCCCUUUGGUUCGGAAUAACAGUUGGAAACGACUGCUAAUACCGGAUGAUGACGAAAGUCCAAAGAUUUAUCGCCAGAGGAUGAGCCCGCGGAGGAUUAGCUAGUUGGUGUGGUAAAGGCGCACCAAGGCGACGAUCCUUAGCUGGUCUGAGAGGAUGAUCAGCCACACUGGGACUGAGACACGGCCCAGACUCCUACGGGAGGCAGCAGUGGGAAAUAUUGGACAAUGGGCGAAAGCCUGAUCCAGCGAUGCCGCGUGAGUGAUGAAGGCCUUAGGGUUGUAAAGCUCUUUUACCCGGGAUGAUAAUGACAGUACCGGGAGAAUAAGCGCCGGCUAACUCCGUGCCAGCUGCCGCCGUAA